UUAAAUACUUCACUUAAAAAUAAUUAAUACUUGGAAUGAUACAGAGAAGAUUAGCAUGGCCACUGUGUAAGGAUGACAGGAAAAAAAAAUACUGUGUUUUAAAUGUUU
rnacentral:snRNA from 1 species